UGCGGUUAAACAAAAAUUAAAUUGAAUUUUAUUAGUUAAAUUAAUUAAUUAGUAAAAAAUUAAUUUAAAUAUUAAAUUAUUAAGUAAAAUUUUAAUUUAACAAAAAAUUUAAUUUAAUGAAUUGAUAACUUUUUAAUUAAACUAGGAUUAGAUACCCUAUUAUUUUAAAAUUAAAUUAAUAAUGCUUAAGGAGUAUAUAUAUAUGACAUAUAUUGAAAUUUAAAUAAAUUGGCGGUAUUUUAGUUUAUUUAGAGGAAUCUGUUUAAUAAUUGAUAUUCCACGAAUAAAUUUACUUAAUUUUUAAUUUUAUAUAUCGUUGUUAAAAAAAUAUUUUUUAAAAAUAAAAAAUAUUUAAAAAUUAAAAUUUUAAAUUAAAUCAAAUCAAGAUGUAGAAUAUAAUUAAGAAUAUAAUGGAUUACAAUAAAUUUAUUUAUAUGAAUUUUAAUUUGAAAAAAUUAAAUAAAAGUGGAUUUAAAUGUAAUUUUAUUUAAUUUAAUAAAAUGAUUUAAUAUUAAAAUAUGUACAUAUUGCCCGUCACUUUCAUUUAAUUAAAAUAAUUGAAAUAAGUCGUAACAUAGUAGAGGUACUGGAAAGUGUUUCUAGAAAGAU
rnacentral:rRNA from 1 species